rnacentral:rRNA from 1 species
AUUGAACGCUGGCGGCAGGCCUAACACAUGCAAGUCGAGCGGAUGAAGGGAGCUUGCUCCUGGAUUCAGCGGCGGACGGGUGAGUAAUGCCUAGGAAUCUGCCUGGUAGUGGGGGAUAACGUCCGGUAACGGGCGCUAAUACCGCAUACGUCCUGAGGGUGAAAGUGGGGGAUCUUCGGACCUCACGCUAUCUGAUGAGCCUAGGUCGGAUUAGCUAGUUGGUGGGGUAAAGGCCUACCAAGGCGACGAUCCGUAACUGGUCUGAGAGGAUGAUCAGUCACACUGGAACUGAGACACGGUCCAGACUCCUACGGGAGGCAGCAGUGGGGAAUAUUGGACAAUGGGCGAAAGCCUGAUCCAGCCAUGCCGCGUGUGUGAAGAAGGUCUUCGGAUUGUAAAGCACUUUAAGUUGGGAGGAAGGGCAGUAAGUUAAUACCUUGCUGUUUUGACGUUACCAACAGAAUAAGCACCGGCUAACUUCGUG